GGAGAGGUGGCUGAGCGGUCGAAGGCGCUCCCCUGCUAAGGGAGUAGGGGAUUAAAACUCCCCUCGAGGGUUCGAAUCCCUCCCUCUCCGCCA
rnacentral:tRNA from 1 species